CGACCAGUUGGCGCGGGUAGAACGGCCGAUGACCGUCCAUAGGCAAUUUGCGAGAAAGUGGAAGAGCGACAUGGGUUUAGCAUUCGUCCAGUGGGCUGCACGAGUGCUUAAGAUCUAACGAGUACGGCGAGUCGCUGAGUCACAGACUCGGAAGCGACGGAGAAGAGAACCAUGGCUGGGAUUCACCGGGCGUUUCGAAGCAUCCAGACGGCAGUAGAAUAUCCACGUCUCACCAGAUUCUCUCUUAAAGCUCCAAAGAGCGUGGAGGUACAAUUUGAUGAUGGAAGUCUUUACAGUUUGCCAGCUGAGUAUUUAAGAGUUUAUAGCCCUGCUGCUGACAGUAAGGUCAGAUCCGUUGCGGGUGAGAAGGUCUGCAGUUUUUCUCAAAAUGGAGUACCUUUAAAAUUGCAUUUCCUUGUUUUCGGCAUUGAGUAUUUACAGUCCACAAAACAAAGAUAAUGCCUAUGGAAACUUGGCCAGAUAGCAGAACCAUUCAAGCAUCAAUCUUGAGUAAUGCCUAACGGGGCAUUUUGUGUCCGAAUCAGGUAAUAUAUGGACGUCGUUAUGUGGGGAUCCUGUCAGCAGAACCUGUAGGGAACUAUGGGGUAAGGUUACUCUUUGAUGACCUGCAUAAGACUGGGAUAUUCACUUGGGAUUACUUUUAUCACCUUGGGAGCAACAAGUUCACCAUGAUGAGAAAUUACAUCACGACUCUGAAGAAGCAUGGAUUAAGCAGAGAUCCAUUAAAAAAGAAAGUGAAAGCAAAGUUUUUCUCACUGCCAACCUGGCAAGAAGCAAUGCUAGAUAUAGGUAUGCUGUAUUGUUGAAGUCUACUUCCUGUCUCUUUGACAAAAGGGAUGCUUGCUAUUUGAAAUUUCAUCUUGGAAUUUUUUUUCUGUCUCCUCUGUGUUUAAUAUAUUCUGUGAUAAUCAUCAGUUAAAACCUUCUGUUGAUUUCUGUUCUUUUUGGUAUUUGGGACGAAAUUUUGAUACAUUCAACAACCUGAGGAUCUUUAUACAGAAUUUUAUCUGAUUGUAUCUGUCAU